ensembl:lncRNA
GAAAGAGCACCAAUCCCACGUCUCAUUAUUUCACAUUGUUUAACUAAAAUGAAUCAGGAAAUAAAAAUGCAUUUCAUGGAUUUUCCUACAUCAUAUUGUUCUGGUCCACCAAACACAUUUUUCACAUUUUACUGUAAUUCUUAAAUGUUUGCAGGUGGAAGCAGAGUUUGCCUGCAUCACCACUGUCCUACUGACAUCCAAGUUCAUGCAACAGCUAGAAUUCUGUGUGGGUUAUUUUUGGGUGCUAUAACUUUUGGUGUUUCUUCCUGUUAUUCUUUCUAUAAUAACCUUUUCUCACAAGAUUUUUUACAAAGUAAGUAGAUUGGGAAAAAUCUCCUUAAACUUAAGAUUUAAACUGUUUAAACUGAUACUUUCAGCUGCAGAAACUAUUAAAAGUUUUGGGUAUUGUGGACUUUUCAGUGAUUACUUUUUGUGUUUCUUCCUUGUAGUUUAUUUUACUAGUGUUGUUUACUGCACAAUACAACAAUAAUCUCACACAUCGCCCUUUUCUUUGCGGUAGGAAGAUGACAUUUAAACUAAAAGAGCUUGUGUACUGAAGGUGCUAAUUGUUUAUCUCACUGAAGACCCAGAAACCCUCAUAAAGGAGAACAUGAUAAGUUUAGUGGCCUCUACUUUACACAAAUUUGCUCUCUGGAAGCAAAGAGAAUGUUUUUGCAGGUUUGUGUUCUGGCUAAAGAUGUAUUUAUUUUUAUUUUUAGGAAUCUGAGAACAACCAUUAGGGAACCCACAGACGACCUUGAAAAUGUUGGACUAAUCAUUGAAUGUGUCGAAGUGCUUCAUGACCUUGGUAACAUUGCAAAUCCAGUUGCCAUUUUGUUUGGCCUCAUUUACUCACUGGUCUUGAGCUACAGUUGAGCUACUUGAGUUCAGACAAGAAACUGCAAGAAAACAGAGAAGCACUGAAAGACUGUUUAGUGUAACCUUGAAAUGGAACUGAAGAACACAUGGAACAAGGGCUUUUGUCCCCAACGAUCAACAGAACUGGAAAGUUUUGGAUCCAGACAUUGAACUACUAAUGGCCUUUGGAAAUUAUGUCCUACCUCUCAGACCAUUCACUCAUCUGUGCAGUUCCUUACCUACCUUUUCAUCGCUGGUCACUCCGUCAUUCAGAUGACCUGCUCCACCUGCCUGCCCCCCUGCCGUCACCUCUGGUCUUGGAACUCUCGGGAACUCUGGACUGUCUGGAUCACAGUCAAAUUGACACUCACCCCGAACCCGCUGGCAGUUUUCUCCCCACGCUCCCUCCGACCUGCUCACAAAGCCUCUGACCCCAGCAUCUUUUAUCCUGAUCCCCUUCCUGCGCUGUACCAUAAUUGCCACCACUAGAAUCACAUAUAGUUACAUUUUGUAGUUUCAAUUUUUGUGUGUUUAUAAAUAAAUAUUCACUUUUGGGAAAAUCACUCAGCCUCCACCUCUGUCUGCAUUCCAGCCUGUUGUACUGGCAACCCUGCCGUGACAAAUGGAGAAUGUAACAAAGAUUGGCAUGAAAGAGGGGGAAAUGAGAGAUGUCAGAAGGGUUGUGUACCAUAUCUGAGCUGGUGAGUCCAGUCAGUCUACGUCAGAUGGUCGUCACAAAUUUGAGGAACCGGCCUUUAAGCAGCAGCCCUUUGGACUCUAUGAACAAUCAAAUCCUCUCCCUUUACCAUGACCUUGUUACGGGGUCCAAGGAGUUUCCUCAUAUUGCAGUCAGGGGAUUGUUUCACUCAGAGCAGAUGAGGACACCUUUUACCCCUGUGCUGCAGAGUUAGAGGGAGAACGCCACUCCAUCUCCUUCUACAGACUCACCAGCUGGUAUGAUGGUGCUGCCUGCAUGGUGCCACUUACAUUCUUAGAUCCUGACUCCUGUACUUCCAGACAAGGUGGAUAUUUAUGCGCUGAACACAGACCGGAGGAACGGUGUCCACACCCUGGAUGUCAGCCUCAUCGUCACCAGAGUCAUCUCUGCUGUUUAUCGCACAGAAAACAGUGAGAUGACAAGGCACUGGAGAGUCAGACUACAGCUCAGAGGACAGCGUUAUCAUGUCGGGAGAUCUGCCAGUUUCUAAAGAUGUUUGUAAAGGGUUAUGAAGAGGAAAAGAGCAGCAGCAGGAGCCCCACUCCACCAAAGAAACUGUGAAGCCUUCUCUGGAGAACUUAUUUUCUCAAGACUCUUUAAGUUUUAAGACUUCUGUCAACUGCAUUGGACAUAUGGCAGGGCUGUGACUGGAUGUUGAACCAGGGACAUCUAUUGUAGAGCCAACUGUAAAUCGAACUAAGGAUCCAUGAAGACAGUGUCAAGUGUAAAUUAUCCUCUGCUGCAUCUUAGACAACAGCAAGAAUGAACAAAGUGCGUGCCAGUUUAUGCGCGUCAUCAGGCCAGAAGGUCUUUCCAGCGCUGAAGCCAGCCACACCAGUCUUCCAUCUAGAUUCCAGGUGAUGCUGAUGACUUUCGCAAAGUGGCUACUACUUAACUGUUUGACUGAGCUUGAGUCAAUGCUGGAUUGUUGAGUUACCGAGAACUUGGAGAAGAGUGUGUCAUGGGAUUGGAGCAUUUGGGAGUUGGGAGCACAUUAACGGAAACCACUUCUUUGAAAGCUGUUUCACGAUUGUUCACAUUUAUCACUGUAAAUAAAACGCACUCUUUGGCUGGAAAAUCCUGCAUUUGGGUUCCAUUCUCGCCACACACCUUGACAUAAAUAAUAAACACUUUGAUUUAGAAACUUCAUUUUGUGUUUAGUUGUGUUGUCUAAUAUUUAGAUUUGUUCAAUGAUCUGAAACACUUUUUCACACCACUGUAUGUACAUAGAAGUUCUGUUCAAAUACCAUGAACAGAAUCAUUCCAACAAUGUGAACCUGAAGCUGUCACUGCAACUGUACUAAUGCCCAGUUUGUAACAACAGACAUGAUGCCUCAUGCUACAGAACAACCCCAAGAGAUGCAGUUAAAUGCGGCCUCAAAGUCCAAAAAAACCCCACACGCAUAUCGAUCAGUUGGGCAAACUUGUCGACACUGUUCUUCAGAGGAUAAAGUGCUGGUGGUGUGUUCCACCAUCAGACUUCCACACAAUGUUCCAGAGAUGUGCUAACCAGGAAAGCACAAGAGCCUUAAUGCCAUUUCCAGAACUUUUUUUUUUUUAAUUUAAUUGUAAUUCUAAGAGUCGUUUGGCACAUGUAAAUAAUGAUCAAAUG